ensembl:snoRNA
AACUGGCUUCUUCCCAAAGCUAUUGCAGUCAAAAAAGAGCCCAGAAUGAGUUUCCUGAAGGUGACUGUUCUAUUUAAUACUAUAAUAUUGUGGGAAAAGACAAAA